rnacentral:sRNA from 1 species
AAAUGCCACGAUAGCGACAUGAGUGCGAAUGUCGGCUUGGGCCGAAAGCUGACUAACCAACCUCCGAUUCGAACCGGCGAUCCGUCGACCACUCAACCAAGUGACUGAUAAGUUGACGAAACGUCGACGAUAGUGAAGAAGAAGGUAAGCAAACACGUUGACGGGCAACCGCGGCCCAUCGAAAAUCCAGUCGCCUAAGGCGCCGCAGCAAAGUUUCUCUCGUAUAUCCUCCACCCCAAGGUCGAGAUACGAGUAUUUUU